UGGGGAAUUUUGCACAAUGGGGGAAACCCUGAUGCAGCGACGCCGCGUGAUUUAGAAGGCCUUCGGAUGGGAAAAAUCUUUUCUAUGGGAAGAAAAUGACAGUACCAUAGGAAUAAGGACCGGCUAAUUACGGGCCAGCAGCCGCGGUAAUACGUAAGGUCCGAGCGUUGUCCGGAAUCAUUGGGCGUAAAGGGUACGUAGGCGGGUAAGCAAGUUAGAAGUGAAAUCCUAUAGCUCAACUAUAGUAAGCUUUUAAAACUGCUCAUCUUGAGGUAUGGAAGGGAAAGUGGAAUUCCUAGUGUAGCGGUGAAAUGCGCAGAUAUUAGGAGGAAUACCGGUGGCGAAGGCGACUUUCUGGCCAUAACCUGACGCUGAGGUACGAAAGCGUGGGUAGCAAACAGG
rnacentral:rRNA from 1 species